AAAUCCAAUUUGGGUCUAGAAAAGUAUUUUUAAAGUAUUGAGGCUUAGGACAAGCCCGGAAAAUUUUCCCGAAAGGAUUCGGUGAAGUGUCGGAGAAAUAAGGAUGUUUGGAGAUGUAAUUUUCGGAUUGGGCUUGAGGAAAUUAAGAGAAAAAGAAAGUUGGAGCAGCCCAAGCCCACUUGGCCCAAAAGGAGGGGCAGAUUCGACUUUUCACAAUUAAAUUUGGGAGAGGUAUUUAAGGAACACAUCCCUCACAAACCCUAGCCACUUCCCUCAUUUUCUCCAUCAGCUUUCUCUCUCUACCGAGAGCCUCUCUCUCUACCCGGUUGCCGGAAAUCGCCGCCGCCGCCGUCGCUGCCGCACCGCCGCCGGCCGCCGCCGUCGCCGGAAUACGGAUUUCAACCAAAAUUUCCAGAUUUUCUCCUCUUCCUUCCCUCUUUCCAUUUCUCCAACCAAAAUCAUGAAAUUUAGCCAUUUAAUCCCCCAAAAACCCUAGAACCCGAAGCUAAAAUUGGGGCUUUUGUGAUUUCUUCUUUCCAAGCUCAAAUCAAGGCUACGGGUUUGGCAAGGAUUUUUGGUGAAGAAGGCCAAGGAGAAGGUAUAUGACGUGAUUUUUGAAGGAGAAAGGGACCCGAGCGGGUGCACUUGGAUUUGGAUAAAGGAUCGAAAGUCGGGAACGAACCCGAAUGUGGGCAAGCACUCCAUUUCCAGUGUGCAGGUUUCGAGCAUGUGGUCGGGAAGCGUACAGGGGAGGCACAUGGCACGGCUUGGCGCAUUUCUCUUUAGUUUUAUCAAAAGAAGGUUUUGGUCCUUAAUCGGAUUUUGUAGUAGCUUGUUUAUUUACUUUUUAUUUAUUUCCUACUCGUUUACAAAAAUUCCGGGAGACCCGUAACCCUGGGGCGCGUCUCCCUUACUUGUCGUUACUUAGAGAUCAGUUUUAUUUUCCAAAUUGGGCUCGGAGCCCAAGCCCAAAACUCUU